GACGAACGCUGGCGGCGUGCCUAAUACAUGCAAGUCGAACGCAGUGGGGACUGGUGAGUAACACGUGGGUAACCUCCCCCUCAGAGGGGAUCACACUUGGAAACAGGUGCUCACCCGAUACUGAUUGAUGGACCCGCGGUGCCUUAGCUAGUUGGUGAGGUAACGGCUCACCACGGCCACGAUGCAUAGCCGACCUGAGAGGGUGAGCGGCCACACUGGGACUGAGAAACGGCCCAGACUCCUACGGGAGGGAGCAGGAGGGAAUAUUCGGCAAUGGGCGAAAGCCUGACCGAGCAAUGCCGCGUGAGUGAAGAAGGUUGUCGGAUCGUAAAGCUCUGUUGGUAGAGAAGCGGUAUCUAACCAGAAAGCAACGGCUAACUACGUGCCAGCAGCCGCGGUAAUUC
rnacentral:rRNA from 1 species